CCCUGUAGCUCAGUUGGUAGAGCAUGGUGUUUGCAACGCCAGGGUUGUGGGUUCGAUUCCCACUGGGG
rfam:Salmo salar isolate Sally breed double haploid chromosome ssa05, whole genome shotgun sequence.